rfam:Photobacterium gaetbulicola Gung47 chromosome 2, complete sequence.
ACAUCACCAUCAUCAUCCUGAUUAGUCUUUCGGGAGGAUACGCCUCGCUCUGGAAGACGCAAUAAUACUCUUCCAGCGGUCGUGAUAGCACAGAUUACAAGACCCUCGGAAGAGACAUCUUCCGAGGGUUUUUUCGU